rnacentral:tRNA from 1 species
GUUUCUAUUUAUAUAGUUUAGAAAAAUAUUACAUUUUCAUUGUAAAGUCAAAUCUUAUUUUUUAUAA